rnacentral:rRNA from 1 species
AGUCGAGGGGCAGCAUGGGAGUACAAUACUUCUGAUGGCGACCGGCGCACGGGUGCGUAACGCGUAUGCAACCUACCUGUAACAGGGGGAUAACACUGAGAAAUCGGUACUAAUACCGCAUAACACUAUGAGAGGCAUCUCUUGUGGUUGAAAGUUUCGGCGGUUACAGAUGGGCAUGCGUUGUAUUAGCUGGUUGGUAAGGUAACGGCUUACCAAGGCGACGAUACAUAGGGGGACUGAGAGGUUAACCCCCCACAUUGGUACUGAGACACGGACCAAACUCCUACGGGAGGCAGCAGUGAGGAAUAUUGGUCAAUGGACGGAAGUCUGAACCAGCCAUGCCGCGUGCAGGAAGACGGCUCUAUGAGUUGUAAACUGCUUUUGUACAAGGGUAAACCUGAAUACGUGUAUUCAGCUGAAAGUACUGUACGAAUAAGGAUCGGCUAACUCCGUGCCAGCAGCCGCGGUAAUACGGAGGAUCCAAGCGUUAUCCGGAUUUAUUGGGUUUAAAGGGUGCGUAGGCGGAUUGAUAAGUUAGAGGUGAAAUGUCCGAGCUUAACUCGGGAACUGCCUCUAAUACUGUUGAUCUAGAGAGUAGAUGCGGUAGGCGGAAUGUAUGGUGUAGCGGUGAAAUGCUUAGAGAUCAUACAGAACACCGAUUGCGAAGGCAGCUUACCAAUCUAUAUCUGACGUUGAGGCACGAAAGCGUGGGGAGCAAACAGGAUUAGAUACCCUGGUAGUCCACGCAGUAAACGAUGAUAGCUCGUUGUCGGCGAUACAC